AUGGCUAUGAAUCGCGAAUAUAUUUUACUCUUCAUCCUCCUGAAAGCUGCCGUGUUCCUCUUGGGUGUCAGUGGUCAGGAUGCAGUCUCGCAGUCGCCACUCUCUGUGACCGUUGGGGAGAAGGACGAGGUGCUUCUCAGCUGUUCAACGACAGUAUCGAAUCAAGUCUUACAAUGGUACAGACAGUAUCCGAAACAGGCCCUCAAACACUUGGUAUCAGGAAAGACAGGAGAGCAGCAGAAUAAGAGGAUCACAGCUACAAUGAACUAUAGAGAGAAGGGCAGUAAUCUGAGCAUCACAGGCACUGAAGUGACAGACGCCGCCACCUACUUGUGUGCAGUGGAGACACACUUCGGGGUGUCAGACACCUGCCUGAACGAAGACAUGUCAGUGAUGGAAGAGAACCAAUGGAGGAACGAGAUGGCAGAGCAGAGAAGAUGA